UACGUAGGGUGCAAGCGUUGUCCGGAAUUAUUGGGCGUAAAGAGCUCGUAGGCGGCUUGUCACGUCGACUGUGAAAACCCGGAGCUCAACUCCGGGCCUGCAGUCGAUACGGGCGGACUUGAGUGUUGCAGGGGAGACUGGAAUUCCUGGUGUAGCGGUGAAAUGCGCAGAUAUCAGGAGGAACACCGGUGGCGAAGGCGGGUCGCUGGGCAGUAACUGACGCUGAGGAGCGAAAGCGUGGGGAGCGAACAGG
rnacentral:rRNA from 1 species